rnacentral:tRNA from 3 species
GGCCCUGUAGCUCAAUUUGGCAGAGCAAGCGACUCUUAAUCGUUAGGUUGAAGGUUCGAGUCCUUCCAGGGUCA